rnacentral:rRNA from 1 species
ACGGCGAGUGAAGCGGCAACAGCUCAAAUUUGAAAUCUGGCCUUUGGCCCGAGUUGUAAUUUGUAGAGGAUGCUUUUGGUGCGGUGCCUUCCGAGUUCCCUGGAACGGGACGCCUUAGAGGGUGAGAGCCCCGUACGGUUGGACGCCUAGCCUCUGUAAAGCUCCUUCGACGAGUCGAGUAGUUUGGGAAUGCUGCUCAAAAUGGGAGGUAAAUUUCUUCUAAAGCUAAAUACCGGCCAGAGACCGAUAGCGCACAAGUAGAGUGAUCGAAAGAUGAAAAGCACUUUGAAAAGAGGGUUAAAUAGCACGUGAAAUUGUUGAAAGGGAAGCGUUUAUGACCAGACUUUUUCCUGGCGGAUCAUCCGGUGUUCUCACCGGUGCACUUCGCCAGGUCGAGGCCAGCAUCGGUUUCUGUAGGGGGAUAAAAGCUUUGGGAAUGUGGCUCUUCGGAGUGUUAUAGCCCAUUGUAUAAUACCCUUCUGGGGACCGAGGUACGCGCAUUGCAAGGAUGCUGGCGUAAUGGUCAUCAACGACCCGUCUUGAAACACGGACCAAGGAGUCGAACAUUUGUGCGAGUGUUUGGGUGUUAAACCCUCACGCGUAAUGAAAGUGAACGGAGGUGAGAGCCAUUUGGUGCAUCAUCGACCGAUCCUGAUGUCUUCGGAUGGAUUUGAGUAAGAGCAUAACUGUUCGGACCCGAAAGAUGGUGAACUAUGCGUGGAUAGGGUGAAGCCAGAGGAAACUCUGGUGGAGGCUCGCAGCGGUUCUGACGUGCAAAUCGAUCGUCAAAUCUGCGCAUGGGGGCGAAAGACUAAUCG